UACGUAGGGGGCAAGCGUUGUCCGGAUUUAUUGGGCGUAAAGAGCGUGUAGGCGGCUUUACAGGUCCGUUGUGAAAUCCCCCGGCUCAACUGGGGAACUGCAAGGGAUACAGCGGGGCUUGAGUUCGGGAGAGGGAAGCGGAAUUCCGGGUGUAGCGGUGAAAUGCGCAGAUAUCAGGAGGAACACCGGUGGCGAAGGCGGAUCUCUGGGCCUUACCUGACGCUGAGGCGCGAAAGCUAGGGGAGCGAACAGG
rnacentral:rRNA from 1 species